rnacentral:rRNA from 1 species
ACUGCUCAGUAACACGUAGUCAACCUAACUCGUGGACGUGGAUAACCUCGGGAAACUGAGAAUAAACCACGAUAGACCAUAGUGCCUGGAAUGGCUUAUGGUCCAAACAGUUUACUGCCAUGGGAUGGGACUGCGGCCUAUCAGCUUGUUGGUGAGGUAAUGGCCCACCAAGGCGAUUACAGGUACGGGCUCUGAGAGGAGAAGCCCGGAGAUGGGUACUGAGACACGGACCCAGGCCCUAUGGGGCGCAGCAGGCGAGAAACCUUAGCAAUGUGCGAAAGCACGACUGGGUCAGUCCGAGUGAUUCCUGAUAAAGGAGUCUUUUGCUUGUCCUAAAAGCACAGGUGAAUAAGGGGUGGGCAAGUCUGGUGUCAGCCGCCGCGGUAAUACCAGCACCUCGAGUGGUCAGGACGUUUAUUGGGCCUAAAGCAUCCGUAGCCGGCUUUGCAAGUCUUCGGUUAAAUCCACCUGCUCAACAGAUGGGCCGCUGGAGAUACUACAAAGCUAGGGAGUGGGAGAGGCAGACGGUAUUCAGUGGGUAGGGGUAAAAUCCUCUGAUCCAUUGGGGACCACCAGUGGCGAAGGCGGUCUGCCAGAACACGUUCGACGGUGAGGGAUGAAAGCUGGGGGAGCAAACCGGAUUAGAUACCCGGGUAGUCCCAGCUGUAAACGAUGCAAACUCGGUGAUGCAUUGGCUUAUGGCCAAUGCAGUGCCGCAGGGAAGCCGUUAAGUUUGCCGCCUGGGAAGUACGGACGCAAGUCUGAAACUUAAAGGAAUUGGCGGGGGAGCAC